GCAGCUUGCAGAUCAGACACUAAGUUUCCCAAAGGGAAUAUUGAAGAACCUCUACGUCCUAGUUGGUACCUUAUACGCUCCAGCAGACUUCGUGGUGAUAGAGACUGAUACUGAUGAGAGGGCACCCAUCAUCCUAGGGAGGCCAUUCCUGAACACCUCGGGAGCCGUCAUCUACGCUAGUGCUGCCAAGAUCAGUUUCUACAUCAAGGGAAGGACGGAGACGUUUUCCUUCAAGAACAAGACUACACAAUAUUAGAGCAAUCCUGACAUGAACCAAGGAAAGGACCAACAGGAGGAACAGGAACAAGCAAAUGUGGACCAAGUCAGCUAUGAUGGUCACUGCAGUUCAAGGAGGUCAAGACCGUCGACUUAAGUCACCGUCCCUGACCAAAAAAGACGACAUAGUCACCUUUCAGCUCCUGUUCGGAACCAUGCCCCUAACAACCAACAUACAUUCAGCUCCAGAUGAUUUUAAAGGUUAUUGACAUGGGAGAAGACAAGUACGAUCCAUCCAUCAUCCUUAGGAGACCGUUCCUCAGCACCGUUAAAGCAAUCAUCUACAUUGGAAUCGGAGAAGUCCACAUGCACUUCCCCUCUGAGAAGGUACGCCGUUGUUUUACUGACCCUAACUAUAUAGUUGAAGACUCUAAGCAGGUCAGGACAAGAAGAGACGACGCAACCGCAACCAGAGGAGGCAAAUCAUCAAGGACGGAUGGGCAGAGUACGAAGGUGGUAAGGUCUGAAGAUAUACAACUUGAAUAGAACUGUUCUGAGGAGACCGUAGUACCUAGUCAGGUGUGGAAAGAGAAGAUAGUUAUACAUGAAGAAGAAGCGCUGCCGGAACCACCGACUACGCCAUCCAGCAAAUCCUAGGACGACUGAGAAAACGGAGAGUCCCGUUCGGAGGACUUAAAAACACCGAACACCUUGCCAAGAGGUAAACUUGGUAAUUAUCCAUUCCCUUUCAAUUAUUUAAAAUAGUUUGCUUAGUUAAUCAGGUUCAUAUCAUCUUGAAAAGAAAAUAAAAAUGUUAAAAAAAUAGUAAGCCCCAUGUGAGUAUGCUCAUGGCAUAAAACCCAUAAGUACAUUCACUAUGGUGGCAUAAAAAUGAAAUAAAUAUAUUCCUGUCCUAUAAAAAUAAAAUUAUAAAAAUAAAUUUAUGAUCCUACUAAUGAGAGUAACAUUUAUUGAGGAGGCUCAACAUGAUAAAGGCUAAAUAUUUAUGCUAACACUUAACCAGUUCCACAAAGCUUUGUUGUCUAUUUGAGCUCCACAAAAUUCAAGGAUCAAAGAAGACUAGCAGACGGAGGACAUCCUAAUCGCUGUCAGGGUGCUGCCGACAUUCAAAUACACCUCCGCUACCUGCUAGCUACAUCACAAGGAAUUACGUCAAAAUCCAGCUUGGGGGAGAGCACUCCCAUUUAUCCAGCUAAGUGUUUCUACUCGCAUUUAUAUUUUACUCAAAUAAUAAAAAGAUGCAUAAUCAUAAAAACCCAAAUAAAGAUUUUGUGCUUAUAUAUAUAUAUAUCUUUGCUUAGUUUGCUAAAUAAAUAAAUAAAUAAAUAAAGUUUGCUAUGAACCCUCAUGAUAAGCUCUCACAUGGAUAUGAUGAGUAGUUGCUCUGCCAUGAUUAGUUCUCAAAAUUGAAAUCUCUCUCAAGUUUAGGCAUGACUGUUAUUAAUUAAGAUUUGCUCUAAACGUGAACUUGUGGGGAGAGUACUUGAUCUAAAGUCUAAGUCGUUAACGGAUACGAUAUGGGAAGGUUGAGCUGCUGUUUAUCUGUUCCUAGAGAUGCUAGAAUUUUGAAGAAUUUUAUCUUUGAAAAUCUUUAAAAUGUUACAUGAUGAGUUCCUGUAUGAUGAGAGUUUAAAUUCCUACCACAGCCAUAUAUACAUGCUUGCUAGACUUUGAACCGUACAUUUACUUUACUGCUUAUGAGCAUUGAGUGUGGUCAAGCUGUGUAGACCCUUAGGAGCUUGUCAUGUGGUUAAGUCAAGAUUCACUUGCACGUUCACUCAUACAUGCUGCUUCUACUCCGAAAGUACGCAUCCACAUAUAUGCACCCAUUUCCAUCUCUAGAAUCACCUAAAAAUAUUCUACUCCUAAUCCGGGAGAGAAUAGCCAAAAACAUUUCUGUUUUCCCCUUUGAAAUUAAUGCUCAAGUUAUCUUGGUUACUACCACUUGCUAUAUUAUUUCAGGAGAUGAGUGCUCUAAAAAAAGAAAAAAAGAGAGAAAAAAAUAAAUACGAGGAAAUAAAAAGGGGCAGGUGCCCGGAACCUCGAAAGAAAAAAGAAGUGAGACGAGAGGUAAAAAUGGACAAGUGUCCGACAGUAGAAUUAGGGGUACAAGAUACCCACCUGAGAGGAAAGAAAAAGAAAAUAUAGAGCAUCUCAUUCUCCUCAAAAAGCUUCAAAAGUGCAAGAAAGGUAUGUAUCCCCUCAAAAGAGCAUAAGUAGAAUUAGACUUUCACCAUUGUUAACACCAUUCAUUCGCCACACAUGCACAUCUUGAUUUGACUUAUUGACUUGUUCUUCUGGAUCCAUGGUUUGACUAUGCAAUAAAUGUCUUGUAAGUAUGUAUUAGCUGUCUCCCACCUAUGACCUCCAGAUAUCAAAACCUUAUUAGAGUAGGGUGAGAGAGAAGGCAAUACCACUAUGCCUCAUACCAAAAAUACCACAUACUCUGAGAGAAGGCAUACACCAUCACUGCCUUGGUAAGGAUCCAGAAAUACCACAAAAGAGAGACUAGAGAGAGUCAUACAAGGAAUCUCUGAGUUUUGUUUGAAAAUCUACAAAAACUCCAGAGCUAUAGUUAAUCGAAGAACAAGAGACAUGGGGCUUGACUUGACCGUUCUAUCUUUUAACUGCUCAAGACACAAGUGACGGUUGCAAGCCCCAUGGUGGAAGGUAAUAUGAGUAAGUUUAAAUCUUAACAGUUUACCUUAACCCAGAGAUGAGAUCUUGUUUGAACGCAUGUGUAUCUUUAAGGCAUAAAACCACUGCAGAAACUCUUGAGUCCAUCUUGCUCAGGGAUGAGCAAAGGUUAAGCUUGGGGGAGCUUGUUGACGGUCCUUAAUGCUCACAUUUAACCAUCAACUAAUCAUGGAAAAGGACUUAUAUGCAACCAACACCUAGACUUAGGGUUUUAUCUGACAGAAUUCCACGAGUUUUGGUGUUUGUCUAUUUCUGCAGGGGGUUAUCAGGAAAUACGGAAGAAAGGCCCACACGUCGGGUUUACAUAGAGAUAUUAACUUGACGCGCAAUUAUCUAGAAGAGUCCAGAAGCCACGGGAGCGAACGGGAGACGUGACGGAGUCGGGCACUGGGCGCCCGCCCUCCCCCUUGGACCAAUCAGGGUGAAGUUCGGGGAUCAUGCUCCACCGACCUAAUACUUCAAGGAAAACCACACGAUCAAUGUCGGUUUGAUCCGAUGGCCUAGAUUCAUCUGAAAAGACUAUAUAAGCAAGGUCCCCUGGCCCCUGGAGAUCAUACCGCUUCUACAAAAUCAAAGCUAGGGUUUCAAUUCUUCAUCCAAGUAGAGAGGAUCCCUCUAGUUCUUCUAGUUCUACCUCUAGUUCAUCUAGAUCUAGUUCUGGUUCAUCUAGUUCUAGUUCAAGUUCCUCUAGUUCUAGUUCUAGUUAGUUCUAGUUGUAAUUUAGAAAAUAGGGAGAGAGAAGAGGAGAGCGGAGGAGGAGCCGGAUCUGUCGGAUCUUUCUCAACAUUGUACUUUUGCAGCAACUGGUUCUUCCUUCAUCGUUCUCCAGGUUCUUCAAUUCACAAUUCCUGAGUUCUUUAAUUACUUUUAUUUACAUUCAAGUUAUUUAUUGGAUUCCCGCUUGCAUCAAGUGCUCUAAUCUUUGAAACAUUAGAGUAGUAAUUAAUAGAUUAGACGUGGUGUUUAGUCUUGCAAUUACCUGGAAUUGCACCCAAUCCUGCGGAUUGUUGUGGUAGCCUUAGGGUAGUGACAGCCCUAACGGUCGACGUAUUCCACCUCGUUCGGAUCGGUGUUUGUAGGACCGUAGUCGGAGCUUCCUAGCCCCCUUCUCAUCUCUUUCUGUGGUUAGUGUUCUGAUGUCCCAAUAUAGAUAAUCUUGAAGUAAUUCUUGAUUCUUAGAUCAACUAGAGAACUCUUAGGAAACUUCCUCUCUUCCCACCAAAAAUAAUUAUAUAGUUAUCCUUGGGCGAUCUUGGAUCUUAAUUAGUACACUCACGUUCCCUGUGGAAAAUCGAUACUCUGGAAUACUCCCGGGUGAAGGCUACAUCGGUAUCCGUGCGCUUGCAGAUUUUUCUGUUUGCGUUUAAAAUACCCAACAU
rnacentral:lncRNA from 1 species